AGAGUUUGAUCAGUGGCUCAGGACGAACGCUGGCGGCGUGCUUAACACAUGCAAGUCGAACGGAACUUUCGGGUUCAGUGGCAAACGGGUGAGUAACGCGUAGGUAAUCUGCCGCAAAGUUGGGGACAACAGUUCGAAAGGACUGCUAAUACCGAAUGUUAUAAGUUUUUCGCAUGAGGGACUUAUUAAAGAUUUAUCGCUUUGCGAGGAGCCUGCGUCCGAUUAGGCAGUUGGGGAGGUAACGGCUCACCAAACCGACGAUCGGUAACCGGUCUGAGAGGAUGAACGGUCACAUUGGAACUGAGACACGGUCCAGACUCC
rnacentral:rRNA from 1 species